ACACAUACACUUUCACUAUUUUAUUUUUGUUUCUUUUCUUUUUCUUUUCUUUUCUUUUACAUCCAUAUUUACAAAAUACAAAUUACAAAAAACUGAAAAAACUAAACAAAUAUUACAUUAAACCAUUUGGAAAUUACAAAAAUGACCCAAAACAAAUUCAGGAACAAUUCCGGGCUGCCCGAACAGUAGCGGCGCGUGGGCUCACGCGCCGCCCCGAAAAUCCAGCAGCGUGAGGGGGCUGUAAUGCUUCCUCCUCUCUUCAAUCUCUUGUUGUCCGUCACCUGCAAAUCCAAAAACACACAGCAAGGGCAGUCGAUUUUAAUUUUUUUUGUCUUUGUUCUAAAAUUUGCUUCGGUUCCUCUUUUUUUCUUGGUAGAUCGGCUUCUGUUUUUUUCUUCUUGGCAGAUCGGCUUCGAUUUUCUUCCCUUCUCUUUUGGUGGCCGCCGAUGAUUGGGAAGCUGGUGGUGGUUGAUCGGGCGGCGCUGCUGCUGCCACUGCUGGGAAACGGCUGGAGGAGGGGAGCUUGUCUCGCGGUGUGGCUGAGCUGGCGACGAGGAGGAGUGCUGGAGGCGACCGGGGCUACUGAUGACUAGUCUGUGGGUGGCGGUGUUGAGGGGCGCGACCGGCUGGCUUUUGGAGCAAAAAUCACAAAGCAGGGGAACGGUUUUUGGGGAAUAAAAAACAGAGGAAGAUGAGGCUGCAGGAGAUGGGUUGUGUUGGGGAGAAAGUGGAAUCGAGAGAGGAGCUGUGAUAGGGAGAAGUGAGGCUUGUGUUUCGUUUCGGUUGUGACCGGGGAAGGGAAAAAUCAAGGGGGAACUGCAGGGAGAAAGGGGCUGGAGCAGGAGAGGAAAACAGGGGAACGGUGAAUCUGUUUUGUGCUCUCUGGUGCUCUAUUGGCCAGGAGAGGGAGAGUGUUUUGUGGGGUUUCGGGAGAAAUGUUGGAGGUGAAGGGGAGGCCGUGAGGUUGAUUUGUAAGGGAAAAUGAGAUUGAUUGGGGGGCUGAGAGAGCAAAUCAAAAACCAGGGGAGAGGAGUUUGGUGGCUUCGGCGGAGAAAGAAAAAAUCUGGCCGGGAGGGAGAAGAGAAAAAAAAAAAUGAGCGUCAAGGGAGUCCCAUCUCUGUUGGCAAAGGCUGAGGAAGAAGAUCAAGAUAUGAAAUCAGUGGGGGCUGUUUUUGUUUGCUUUUUGCCGAGAGGCUGGACCCAUGAACCCAGGGAAGGGGUUUUGUUUUUUUGGGUUUGAGGGGAGACGGGUGGCUCAAGGUUGAAGAUGGGGAUGGUCUGGAAAAUGGGGGACAAAAAUUAAAUUGGGGCUGUUUUUUGGGGGGCUGUUUGGUCGGGGUGAAAAAAAAACAAAGGGUGGGGUUUUUAUGUGAUGUUUCAAAAUUGCCCCCAUGACUCAAAAUUGCCCCCUUUUGGCAAGUGUUGGACACCAGUAUUUAUAGGCAAAAAAUAU
rnacentral:lncRNA from 1 species